GUCCCCUCACAUUCCCUGUCUCACCUAUAUACAGAGGGAGACCCACAGGCCUGCAGUAUAGCUAAUCUGACCACAGAGGAAAGGUGGUCAGACUGAUUUUAUAAUGUCACAAGGAAACACCCUUCCUGGACAAAAUAUACUUUGGAGAAGAGUAAAGAAGAGGAAAAAAUCAAAGGCUUUAUAAGAGAACGUGACAAGAAGACUAAACGAGAGAGGAAAAGGCUGAGAGAAGAGAUAAACAGAAACACUCAAAAAGACUAAACUGGGUGAACUAUUCUUCUAACGCAGUAAUAUCUCAGUCUAUGAAUGCAUGUGGAAAGUUCUGGAAAUGAAAGGUAUAGCCUGAGUGAGACUGAUCAGUGAUGUUAUAUGAGCGAGAGCCAGAAUCACUUGCAUCGCUCAGCACUCCGGCCCAAAAGCGCACAUUCCCACAUCCCAGCGCACCACUUUAAAGAGCGUCCCGGCUGCUCUGGUUCGCCACUCCCUGAGGAAACUGCAACUCUGAAACGGCAAAUAUCAAUACAUUCAUUAUGCACUUUAUAUUUAUACAUUUAUACUCAUGCUUUUAUAU